UUUUCAUAAUGCCAGGAGAAGCUUUAGAUGCUUGUUUUGCCUUUAUUUGUUUAAAGCAAUAUAUUUGACUAGCAGCAAGUGUGUGGAGGUCAAAAUAUGUUCAAGACAAUAAAAAUGUCAGUGAAGGACAUCUGAAAUUUUGUUGCAGAGGUUUUCUGAUGCAUGUGUUUUAAGGUUUAAGGGUGGUGGCACAGCUAAGACCCAAGAGUCUCUUUCAAGACACUGAAUUUGAGCAGAAACCAUAAGGAUACUCAAAGGACCUGUGACUCUCAGGAAAUGCAUCAAAUGAGAGUGACAGAUGAAACAGUUUCAAGACAAUGGCAGGAAAAGCAUGCUGAAGAUUGAAACAAACCUUGGCUGGAAA